UUCUGCAGCCUUUGGCAACUGUGGCUGAAGGCGGCUGGACUUUAAUUAAGUAUUAUGACUCGCAAAACAGCCAGGAAUCCAUUACAAUAGAUUGGCGCGCCCUCCUCAACCUGAGCCGAGAUAUGGCCGGCGCACGAAGGCCGUUGGUGUUCCAGUUCCUCAUGACCCUGGACGGCGUUCUCUGGCACCACGCCACCUUCGGGCCCGUCAUCCUUGGCGACGACCUGAUGAUAGAGGAACUCGGGGAAUACCAUGGCAAUGCAGG